ensembl:snRNA U6 U6 spliceosomal RNA
GUGCCAUUACUUCAGCCCAUCACUUCGGCAGCACAUAUACUAAAAUUGGAAUGAUACAGAGAAGAUUAGCAUGGCCCCUGUGCAAGGAUCUAUAAUUAAGCACAUAAUAUAGUGUGU